rnacentral:lncRNA from 1 species
GAUGAAGCACUUUCUGCUCUGAGGUUUGGCAAGUACCAAGCUCUAGUGCUAGCAUAUGCUGGACUUGGUUGGGUUUCAGAGGCAAUGGAGAUUAUGAUUCUCUCUUUUGUUGGACCAGCAGUCAAAUCAAAGUGGAAACUAACCUCAAGCGAAGAGAGCCUGCUAACCACUGUUGUUUUCGCUGGGAUGCUGCUUGGAGCUUAUUCUUGGGGCAUCAUUUCUGAUAAUUAUGGGAGGAGGUACGUUAUUGCUUGUUAAUUCAGACAUCGAACGUAUAUUUGCUACGUUGCUAGAAUAGCUUCUUACCUUGCAGAUGGCAUAUUAUUAUUCUUUUAGCCUAUAUCUUCAUCUGCUCACAGGAGGAUUUGUAUUUAAAAGAUUUCAUUUUGAUUCUUAUACUUCUGGAGAUUACUUGGGAGUUUCACCAUGUGCUUUCUCUACAAUUUGGAUUUGCCUUCUGGAUGUUUCUCACUAUUUCAAGUUAGAUAUGUGCAUAUUAAAUUUCAAAUAUGUUUAAUAUAUUUGUCCCUUUUUAUCGUAACCUAAACUGUUUUUGCAACUCAGCUGAGUCCUUGAUGCCUGUUUUACCUUAACAGAUUCAAUUUUUAACUCGCCCACUCAAACUUCAACAUGCAGGCAAACAGAGGCAAUUACGGCGUCACAAAUAUCUAUGCAGAAAGAAUAAAGUGUUUAUUUAGUGUUACAAAUUUUCUAAAUUAGCAGAGUGAGGUUGGAAAUUCUAAAAAGGUUUAGCACCCUUUCUAAGCCAUUGAAUUCCCUUUAAUUUAUCAAUUUCCGGUUUUUCCAACCUGUUCAGUGGUCUUCCUAAAAUGUCACUACAAUUAGGGCGUCACAAAUAUCUAUAAGGAAUAUCUCUGUCACCACAUUCUUUUCUUUCUGUUCCACUCAUUGCAUACUACUCGUGAAUUGCCAUAGGCAGAAAUGUUUUUGUAUUUUCAAGUCAUAGGCAUCAUGGAUUAUAAAGCGCAAAUCAUUUUUAUGUUUCUUGACUGUUAUAUGUGCUGCAAGAAGCUUUUCGCUUGGUACAGCUCAAAUAUGAGUCUGUUCAACUUUGCUUUCCACCAGGCUUUUAAGGUUCUGUUUAUUUCAGUACAUCAGUUCACCUUUUUCCCCUGAUAUGCUUAAGUAAAUCACAAAGAUGCACUUAUCCAUCAAAUGUUAGGCCAUCUACUUAAGAAUUUAUUCAUAAAUAUAAAGUCUUUGGUUGAAACUCGAUGUUUUAUAAUUACUUUUUUCUAGUUUUAUUAAAUGCUGACUAGUGUCUGCUCUCUCCAGAAAGAGUUUUCUCGGCAUAGCUAUGGUAACUAGUGUGGCUGGACUAUUAAGUUCUUUCUCGCCAAAUUAUGUAUCAUUGGUGAUAUUUCGUUGUUUCGUUGGUGUUGGUUUGGGGGGAGUACCUGUAUUCUUAGCCUAUUUUCUGGAGUUCGUUCCUGUUUCACAUAGAGGCAGGUGGAUGGUAGCCCUCUCAGCUUUCUGGACAGCUGGAACAAUUUUUGAGGCGUCGCUUGCCUGGGUAUGUAUAAUUUCCUAACUUCUACUGUCAUUAUCCAAAUAACUCUUAGAUUAUAUUUCUUUUACUUUCUAGAAACAGUCCUGUUUUUACCUUGUGGCAUGGUGAUGAUGUAGGAAAGGAAAUAAAAGAAAAGAAAGAGAGAGUGGGAGAAAAGAAUUACAAAGGGAAGAAGAAGAACAAAGAGAAUUAAGAGACGAAACAAGAUUUCAGUGAAUUAAUAAUCACUAAAAACUAAUCCUCUAUAUAUGGUAGUCCAAACCUAAUCUGAAGGGAAUCUACUCCUGUUGGCAGAGGAACACCAAGUUUCCAAAAUGAAACAAAUUCCUAAACUAAUUAGUAUCUAAAACUUCAAAACGUGUUCGAUAUCACUUGAAGCUUAAGAGUCUUCCAGAGAAGAUUGAGGUAUCUUUAGGUAAUAGUUUCCUCAUAAAAUAUUACAAGUAUUGUGCAUUGGUAAGCUCUUCCAGCUGGUUUUGCUCGUUCUUCAUUAUUCAAAAUCUUUUGGCAUCGUUCCAGAAAAGAUAUUGUACCUUUAAAAGUUUAUGAUAUUCGGAAAAAUGGACGUUUAUCUUCAACUGAUGUCUGAACCAAAUAACUAAUCAUGCUUUUCUAUUUUUAUUCUUCUUAAGCGACAACUGGUAUGCUGGUGACAGGAGGCUCUGAGGCUCCAUAAAAUUUAAAAAUUCUUUCAUUUGCAGGUUGUCAUGACAAGACUGAAUUGGAGGUGGCUACUUGCAUUUUCCUCUGUACCAUCAUUUGCUCUGCUUCUCUUUUAUGGUCUAGCACCUGAGUCACCCAGGUAUUUGUGUGCGAAAGCUAGAACAGCUGAUGCACAUAGAAUUCUCGAGAAGAUGGCUUUUGUCAACCAAACAAAACUCCCACCCGGCAUUCUUGUUUCUGAUAAAGCAAUUAAAGAGAACGAAGAAUCAAAUUUAUUGCGAGAUACACAUAUGCUCUCAAUGACAAGAAAGAUCACCGACAAGUUAAAGUCUGGCUUCUCAUCAUUUUUUAUGCUUUUCUCAAGAAAAUUAAUUCGGACAACUCUUCUCCUAUGGGUGUUAUUCUUUGCAAAUGUUUUCUCAUAUUAUGGCGCUGUCUUGUUGACCUCUAAGCUAAGCAGUGGAGACAAUAAAUGCGGCUCAAAGGUCUUGCAUGCGGACAAGUCGAAAGAUAAUAGCCUGUAUGUCGAUGUGUUUAUCGCUAGUUUGGCAGGUACUGUAUGACUUCCGUUGACCGUCAUGUGCUCUAUAUUUUGAAAUAUAUUCUGCUCUUUUAACACCUUUAUUUUCUUUCAUAUAGUGUCAUGGCUUAGUAACAUUUGUGUUGAUUUUAUAUUACAGAGCUUCCCGGGCUUAUCUUGUCAGCAAUAAUAGUGGACAAAAUUGGCCGCAAGCUUUCCAUGGUUCUUAUGUUUGUCUCAGCUUGCAUUUUCCUUCUGCCACUGGUCUUCCAUCAGUCUGCUGUAGUAACUACGGUGUUACUGUUCGGAGUUCGCAUGUGUGUCACAGGAACCAUAACAGUUGCCACAAUUUAUGCCCCUGAGGUAAUCUGAUGGAACUUCUCAUACCUAUCGAAAGAAAAUUGUACUAAUUAAUAGCGCUUGAGUUCUUGAUAUGUUAUAGGCUUCAUUUUUAUGAUCGUUUACUCUUUCAAGUUUCACAAAUAUGUUUUUCAUAUCAGAUAUAUCCUACGUCUGCGAGGACAACUGGGUUUGGUGUUGCAAGUUCUUUGGGAAAAGUAGGAGGCAUGGUAUGCCCUCUUGUUGCCGUUGGACUUGUAACCAGUUGUCACCUAAGACUUGCGGUUAUUCUGUUUGAGGUUGUAUUUGUUCUGGCUAUAGCCUCUUCUCUGCUCUUCCCAUUUGAAACCAUGGGACGGGAACUAAAAGACACCGUGGAUGCAAUUGAAUCAUAGUAAGCUUGUUGCUCUGUUUCUUAUACUCUCUUGCUAGUGGAAAAAGUAUGUCAGUGCACAAUACUUCAGCAAACUUUCUUACUUCUCAUUGAACGCUUAUGAAUUGGAUGCAAAUGUUAUGUAAAUAGAGUUUCAACUUUCAAGUGCAUUAAUUAAUUUUCAUGUCUAGAUCUCUCUCAUCAUCAUCAUCUCCUUUCACCACUUUUCAAAUUUUGGGCUUGCAGCCGAAUUUCAAUAAGGCUUUUAGGCUUCGUAUGUUGCUGUUGAAAUAAAAGAUACCAAGUGCUAUGUGAAAAAAGAAACUGUACGGUUGGUGUCAAGUAGAAAAAUGCAAAAAUUAUCAAUGAUCACGGCCCAUAAAAUCAAACUAAUUAACAUUAGCUCAUUAAAUUAUCAGCCACGUCAUCACUGCUCCAAAUUCGGAAAGAUAUCAACUGAAAUGAAAGAAUAUUAACAAUAAUUAAUAAUAAAAAUAUCUCGUCUUUAGUUGCCUACAGCAACUAAAAUGUUGAGUGGACAAAGUAUCCUCAAAUCCGACGCUUUAUAUUUAAUUAGUUAAUGUUCAAUCUUGCCAUCUGGAGAAUACACGUGAUCCCCCUGGCCCACAUUCCCAUAAUUCCGAACUAAAAUAUUCAGAGUUUUACGCUGCAGGGCUGGAACCCGCGCAGCGGAAUUUCCCGAACUCCAGACACCAAAAUCAUUAUUAACCCGUGAGAUAUCUUAUUAAUUAGGAAGGAACGGCAAAAGGUGUUAUCCGCGCGACAAGUCGGUUUAACUCGGCAUCUUAGGAUUUAUUAUCAUACUCCGAGUUUAAACCUUUAUUUCGGGUGAACCCAAUAUCAAGUUAAUAUGUAUCUCUUAGAACACAUUUGGUUAAUUUGUCAAUAAUAUUGUUGUCUGGACUUUUAGUCCAACUGAUCAGUUAAAAGAAAAAGGUUUCUUUGACCGAAACAUACAAGGAUACAAAUUUCUUUCCUUGAUUUGUAAUUUGUUAGUUAUUACAAAUUAUUUGUGCCAUUGGCGGUGUUAUUGUUGGAGGUGAGAAGUAGCCUCAUCGUUUUUAAUUGGGUUCAGUAGAUGGGAGAUGAAAGCCUUGUGUACACGUUGGAUGGAGCACUUUCUGCUCUGAGAUUUGGCGAACUACAUAGCUGUUGUGCUCUCUCGUAUGCUGGACUCGGUUGGUUUUCGGAAGCGAUGGAGAUGAUAAUUCUCUCUUUUGUAGGACCAGCAGUGAAGUCCAAAUGGGGACUCGCCUCAGGCGACUGUUGUUUUUUUUUAUUGGGAUGCUGUUUGUUUCUGUUAAUUUCGGGGAGGAAGUAGCCUAUUUCGUCCUUCCGUUUUGUUAAUUUACUUUUGCUUCUCCCACAUGUAGGCACGCAGAAGCAAUUAUGCUGUCCGAACUGUCCAUGCAGAAUAAAGAAUUUAUGGAUGAUUUUAAGCUUUGAAUAUUAGCACAUUCGAACUCUAAUCAUAGGCUUCACGAAUUAAUAAAGUGAAAAUCAUUUUUCAGUUUCUAGAUUAUUGCUAUAUGUACUGUACUACCAGUGGCUUUCUAAGGAAAUAGAAGCCCUUGGUGGUACAAGAUAUUAUUCAUUUCUUUUUUUUCUUUACGUCAAUCCGCCUUUUUCUUUCUGAUGCCUGAUGUUGUCUGGUCUGCUCUUUCUAAGUGCCUGAUGUUGUCUGGUCUGCUCUUUCCAGAAAAGAGUAUGCUCGGCUUAGCAGUGGUAACUUGUGUGGCUGGAUUGCUGAGUGCUUUCUCACCAAAUUAUGCAUCAAUGGUGAUAUGUCGUUGUUUGGGCAGAGGACACGUAUUUUUAUUCUAUUUUUCUAGAGUUGGUUCCUGUUUCUCGUAGAGGUGCGUGGAUGGUAGUGUGCUCAGCUUACUGGAGUGCUGGAACAAUCUUUAAGGCUUCACUUGCCUGGGUAUGCUUUCUGUCCUGACUUCAAACUCAAAAGUCACUUACAUCAUGAAGCUUAAGAGUCUGCUUUCUGAUAACAUAUUUCUUUCUUGAUAAAUUAAUACGCAAUUUUACGCAAUAUUAUGCUGGUGACUGAAGAAGGCCUUGAGGCUUCAUAAAAUGUCAACAUGCCUUCACUUGAACAAUGUCAUGAUUAAACUGAAUUGGAGGUGGUUACCUGCACUUUCUGCUGUACCAUCAUUCGCUCUGCUUCUCUUUUAUUGUCCAGCUCCUGAGUCAUCAAGUUAUUUAUUGGCUAUAUGGGUAGUAAAAUUUGAUCACUUAAUCGAUAACAGAAUUACACAUAUUAUGCCCUUUAAGAUGUCGAGUGAUUUUUAAAUAAUUUUAUCUAAUUGGUCACCUCAAUAUGAAUUUUGAGAGUGAUAAGAAAUAAAAAAUUAAUAUGGAUAAAGACCGUUUCUUUAUUUUUUUAAAUAGAAAAUAAAAAAUUACACAUUAAAUUAUUUUUUAUUUUUAAAUAAUUUUUUAAUUUAUAGUAUCAGGAGAAAGUAUUUAUUAAUAACCCAAUUUGUUUUAUUCUUUUACGAUUUUAUGACGGUUAUUUCAAUGAUUUUACAAACGAAAUCUUUGCAAAAUUUGAUGGCAUGGACCAUUGAAAUAACCGUCAUAAAAUCUUUUGCGAUUUUAUGACGGUUAUUUCAAUGAUUUUACUAACGAAAUCAUGGAAAAUGUGGAUUAAGUUCUUAUUCGUGAUUAUGCUAAAAAGUAGGAACAUGGCUAAGCAGGGUAAUUGAUGGAUCUUCCGGAACCUUCUCUCCGUCAACAUUACCCUUAUUAUUAUUAUUAUUAUUAUUAUUAUUAUUAUUGUCUUUGUUUUUGGAUUUGUGACAAUUCAGCCCAAACAGAAACGGAUAUGGCCGAGACAGGGGUUAACAUUCUUUUGAAUUGGAGACCUUACGAUGAUGCAUUUAUUGUAGAGUGAAUCUAUUUAUGCCCCUCAAAUAUCCUCCGAAGACCCCCAUUUUCAGUAAAAUCCAACAUGAUUCCAAAAAUACCCUUUUAAUCAACACCUAAUUUAUGAUUAUUUAAUUCAUUUAUGAUUUUUAAGCCAUUUUCUCACUCUUGAAAUUAGUCUUAUUUAUUUUUAUUGUAACAUUUUUUUAAAAAAAAGUUCUUUCUAUCAAUAAACUUAUGAAUGAGAAUAAUUGAUUUGGAAAUUAUGGUUGAAAAGUAGUUUCAAGUAUAAUGAAAGAAAAAUACAAAUAGAAGAAAUUGUUUUAAAUUUAGGGAAACAAAUCAUAUACAUGAGAGUCAUGUCUCUCAACUCAAGUCACAUAAAUAUAACCUACAAAAAUAAAAAUAAGAGAGAACUAAUAAAUUACUAUGGAUUAAAGAGGCAAAAGAGUGAGAAAAAAAAAAACACAUGUAUAUGCACAUGCAACAAAAAUAACAGGAAAAUUAUGCAAUCUUAAUUUUUUUUUGAUAUACUAAUAUAUUACAAUCAAAUCUCUACUGAUAUUUAUAAUUAGAAAUCAAUCGAGGACUCUCCUGAAUAAUCUUAUUAUAGGAGAGUCUGAAGGUUAACCCUCACUUAAAGUUGGAGUAAAAUAUAUCCUCACUAUUAAUAUUAGAGCCUAUUAUACGACAAUUUAAACGUUUACUUAAAAUUAGAGGAAUAUUUAUUCUCACUGUUAAUAUUAGAAAAACAUUAAUUUUACCCUAAUAGAGAGACACAAAUAAACCUCUAUUAUACAAAAAAAAAAAAAAAAAAAAUCGAAUCCACCGCCGUACUAAUACUGAGAUUUGAACUGCCAAAGGGGUCGUAAUUUUUUAAUAUAACGAUCCCACUAAAAAAGCAUAAGAUCCUAUUUGAUAACUAUUCCGUCGAAAAAUUUUGAGUGAAAUAUCAUUACUAAUUACCACAUUACCGAUGACCUAUGUCAUGUCAUGCGAACUGGUGACGAACUCCGGCAAAGUUGGUGUCAUUUUCUACACACUUGUCAACUAGCGCUCGCCGCAGUGGUGGCAUUCGGUAAUCUUUCUUGUUCUUGAUGUUAUCAAACACCAACAAAACGACAGCCCCCGUGGUUCCCACCUCCUUCUCUUUCAACACAAUCAUAAUUUUCUUUUUAAUCGUAUUGAUCGGACCACAAAUGACCCAAACCCUUCCACAUGUCUCUUUCUGGUUUGAUCGAUUCACGGUCUCGCCCACUUGCACCAACACCUAAAGAACAUUCAAUUAUUCGUUGACGACCUUCUGACAAUGAUUACGGGGAUUCCCAUUUCCAUAUCCACCUCUGUACGACAAGUCGGUCUAGCGUCCUACUAGUAUUUGUGAUAGUUACUCCACCGCUCUGUGCUCUGUAGUCAGUACGCACUCUUUCAGGUGAAACCAGUAAAGGUAAUUUCUUGUUUUUCGUAUUUUCAUUGUUCUUUUUGUGAUCAUGUAGAGAAUUUUGAUCAUUUGGCUUGCACGUGUUUGCUAAAGAAAGGUGGUGCAUUUGUGUUCCCACAAUUACUGCAUUUUGUUGUUAGUUGAUAAGCAAUUCUUGCGAAGCUACUUCAGAACUAUUUAAUUUAAGCUGGGCAUACAUGUUUUUGAAUAUCCAGAAACUUGCCUGAAUUCACUUUGGUAUGGGACAUAUUUGUGCAAAUGUUUUAUCAAACUUCCCAAAAGUGCUUUCCCUGGAGUUGUUGUUGCAGCAAGCAAAAAGAAAAGCUGCUUUCUUCUGGUGUACUGAAUGAAUUUUGACUUCAUAUUGACAAUUUAUUUUUCUCUGUCUCACUGUCUGUCUCCUGGAACCUAACAUACACCCUCAAGUGGAUUUUUUUGACUUUUUAUUUUUUAUUUUCAAACAAAGAAUUAUAGAAUUAAAAUAUGUGAAGUUGCUGAAAAACAUAAGGAUGUUAUAUGUAUUUAAAAAAAAAAAAAAAAUUGACUUCAAGUUUAUGUCACUUACAACACAUUUCAACAUUUGAUUAGUUUACUGUGUAAACUUUCAUCCAAUUGAGCAGAAAACAAGUUUCUUUGACUGAAACAUAUAAAUUCAAUGGUCCAACUAUGCAUAAGGAUAUGAAAUUCUCUCUUGUUAUUUGUUACGAUUAUUUGUGCCAUUGCUGUUGUCUCCCUGUUGGUAAGAGUAGUCAUUAUUUAUGCAAAUAUAGUCUGCAGUGGACUAAUAAUUUUGAUGGAUAUGUUUAUGGACAACAAUAUCUUUCAAUUUGGGUCUUUAGAUGGGAGAUGAACGUCCUGUGUACACGCUGGAUGAAGCACUUUCUGCUCUGAGGUUUGGGAAGUACCAAGCUCUAGUGCUGGCAUAUGCUGGACUUGGUUGGUUUUCAGAGGCAAUGGAGAUUAUGAUUCUCUCUUUUGUUGGACCAGCAGUCAAAUCAAAGUGGAAACUAACCUCAAGCGAAGAGAGCCUGCUAACCACUGUUGUUUUCGCUGGGAUGCUGCUUGGAGCUUAUUCUUGGGGAAUCAUUUCUGAUAAUUA